GAUGAACGCUGGCGGCGUGCCUAAUACAUGCAAGUCGAGCGAACAGACGAGGAGCUUGCUCCUCUGACGUUAGCGACGGACGGGUGAGUAACACGUGCAUAACCUACCUAUAAGACUGGGAUAACUUCGGGAAACCGGAGCUAAUACCGGAUAAUAUAUUGAACCGCAUGGAUCAAUAGUGAAAGACGGUUUUGCUGUCACUUAUAGAUGGAUCCGCGCCGCAUUAGCUAGUUGGUAAGGUAACGGCUUACCAAGGCGACGAUGCGUAGCCGACCUGAGAGGGUGAUCGGCCACACUGGAACUGAGACACGGUCCAGACUCCUACGGGAGGCAGCAGUAGGGAAUCUUCCGCAAUGGGCGAAAGCUUGACGGAGCAACGCCGCGUGAGUGAUGAAGGUCUUCGGAUCGUAAAACUCUGUUAUUAGGGAAGAACAAAUGUGUAAGUAACUAUGCACGUCUUGACGGUACCUAAUCAGAAAGCCACGGCUAACUACGUG
rnacentral:rRNA from 1 species